AGGACGAACGCUGGCGGCGUGCUUAACACAUGCAAGUCGAGCGGAAAGGCCCUUCGGGGUACUCGAGCGGCGAACGGGUGAGUAACACGUGAGUAACCUGCCCUCCACUCUGGGAUAAGCCCGGGAAACUGGGUCUAAUACCGGAUAUGACUCCUCGUCUCAUGGCGGUGGGUGGAAAGUUUUUUUCGGUGGGGGAUGGACUCGCGGCCUAUCAGCUUGUUGGUGAGGUAAUGGCUUACCAAGGCGACGACGGGUA
rnacentral:rRNA from 1 species